CCUACGGGUGGCUGCAGUGAGGAAUAUUGGUCAAUGGACGAAAGUCUGAACCAGCCAAGUAGCGUGAAGGAUGACUGCCCUAUGGGUUGUAAACUUCUUUUAUAAAGGAAUAAAACGAGGCACGUGUGCCUUUUUGCAUGUACUUUAUGAAUAAGGAUCGGCUAACUCCGUGCCAGCAGCCGCGGUAAUACGGAGGAUCCGGGCGUUAUCCGGAUUUAUUGUGUUUAAAGGGAGCGUAGAUGGGUUGUUAAGUCAGUUGUGAAAGUUUGCGGCUCAACCGUAAAAUUGCAAUUGAUACUGGCAGGCGUGAGUAUAGUUGAGGUAGGUGGAAUUCGUGGUGUAGCGGUGAAAUGCUUAGAGAUCACGAAGAACACCGAUGGCGAAGGCAGCUCACUAAACUGUGACUGACAUUGAUGCUCGAAAGUGUGGGUAGCAAACAGGAUUAGAUACCCUAGUAGUC
rnacentral:rRNA from 1 species